rnacentral:lncRNA from 1 species
UGGCCAUAGACUUAAAAACUUAGUUUCAUAAAUUCCAUAGGACUACUCUCUUCUGCUAAGGUCGAUAGAUCUUAUAUAGGUGUACAUCCCACUCUUAAAGUGGACCAACUAUCGCCAACAUCUAUUACAAGGGCAUAUUAAGACCCAUGUUUAUGUGUAGUCAAACUCUAACAGCCUCACUGUGGGUAGCUGUAGCACUGCAGGUCAAAGGAUCAGUCAUAUAACUGCAGCAUCGAGAAAGUCACUAACGAGUGAGCAGACAUCCAUGUGACUUCUCGUGUUGGUCACGCUCAAUGCUAAUUAUUCUCUAACAACCAUCUGUACUCUCGCUCCAGUAUCACUACACCAUAGACUCGAGACCCAUCUGUCCGAAGAAAGCGAUUUGUGCACUGAUCUAUCUGGAUCAAUCGCCAUCUCCAUGAUGAUCCUAUAACUAGAAGCAAUUUAAAAAUUGACCAUCAAUGAUAUAUGUCUCAAAUUCUCAACUCUUUGAGAAUAUGUGUCAUCAUCUUGUUAAUUCUUUGGAUGAUUCAUAGAUACAUAAAAUAUGAAUGAUAAUAUAAAUAUCCAUAAAGUAUAAAAAUAUAUCCUAGAAAUAUAGUAUGCGUCAGCCAAGAUUGGCUUCUAGGGCAUAUAUCCAACAAUUUUUCACUUGCACUAAAGCCAAUCUGUCAUGAACCAAGCUCCAUCUUCUCAAGACAGACUUUAGUCUUAGGCUAGCUAAGUGAUUUAUCAG